AACGGGUGGUAAUGCCGGAUGUUCCACAUGAUCGCAUGUGAUUGUGGGAAAGAUUCUAUCGGCGUGGGAUGGGGUCGCGUCCUAUCAGCUUGUUGGUGAGGUAACGGCUCACCAAGGCUUCGACGGGUAGCCGGCCUGAGAGGGCGACCGGCCACAUUGGGACUGAGAUACGGCCCAGACUCCUACGGGAGGCAGCAGUGGGGAAUAUUGCACAAUGGGCGCAAGCCUGAUGCAGCGACGCCGCGUGAGGGAUGGAGGCCUUCGGGUUGUAAACCUCUUUUGUUUGGGAGCAAGCCUUCGGGUGAGUGUACCUUUCGAAUAAGCGCCGGCUAACUACGUGCCAGCAGCCGCGGUAAUACGUAGGGCGCAAGCGUUAUCCGGAUUUAUUGGGCGUAAAGGGCUCGUAGGCGGCUCGUCGCGUCCGGUGUGAAAGUCCAUCGCUUAACGGUGGAUCUGCGCCGGGUACGGGCGGGCUGGAGUGCGGUAGGGGAGACUGGAAUUCCCGGUGUAACGGUGGAAUGUGUAGAUAUCGGGA
rnacentral:rRNA from 1 species